rnacentral:tRNA from 1 species
GGGCCUAUAGCUCAGCUGGUAGAGUGUCGCAUUCGCAUUGCGAAGGUCGCCGGUUCGACUCCGGCUAGGUCCACCA